rnacentral:tRNA from 1 species
UCCCUGGUGGCUCAGUGGUAAAGCAUCUGCCUGCCAAUGUAGAAGACACAGGUUUGAUCCUGAAUUGGGAA